rnacentral:rRNA from 1 species
GAUGAACGCUGGCGGCGUGCCUAAUACAUGCAAGUCGAGCGAACAGACGAGGAGCUUGCUCCUCUGACGUUAGCGGCGGACGGGUGAGUAACACGUGGAUAACCUACCUAUAAGACUGGGAUAACUUCGGGAAACCGGAGCUAAUACCGGAUAAUAUAUUGAACCGCAUGGUUCAAUAGUGAAAGUCGGUUUUGCUGUCACUUAUAGAUGGAUCCGCGCCGCAUUAGCUAGUUGGUAAGGUAACGGCUUACCAAGGCAACGAUGCGUAGCCGACCUGAGAGGGUGAUCGGCCACACUGGAACUGAGACACGGUCCAGACUCCUACGGGAGGCAGCAGUAGGGAAUCUUCCGCAAUGGGCGAAAGCCUGACGGGGCAACGCCGCGUGAGUGAUGAAGGUCUUCGGAUCGUAAAACUCUGUUAUUAGGGAAGAACAAAUGUGUAAGUAACUAUGCACGUCUUGACGGUACCUAAUCAGAAAGCCACGGCUAACUACGUG